rnacentral:other from 1 species
UUCUCUGAGGUGUGCGUUAUCGGGCCAGUCCCCUGAGCCGAUAUUUCAAACCAAAAAGAAUGCGGGUUCUACAGUCUGUGAGCAUGCCCGGUCCGUCCGGGAAGCCUGAUGAUCGUAUAUUCGCGUUCACCUUGAACCAAGGGUUCAAGGGUUACAGCCUGAGACGGCACCUCGGAGUU